rnacentral:lncRNA from 1 species
AUGCGCUGGUGUACGGGCCCGGCGGCUCAGCGCCCGGCUUCCAGCACGCCUCGCACCACGUCCAAGACUUCUUCCACCACGGCACCUCCGGCAUCUCCAACUCGGGCUACCAGCAGAACCCGUGCUCGCUGAGCUGCCACGGAGACGCCUCCAAAUUCUAUGGCUACGAGGCGCUCCCCAGACAGUCCCUUUAUGGGGCUCAGCAAGAGGCGAGCGUGGUGCAAUAUCCCGACUGUAAAUCCUCCGCCAACACUAACAGUAGCGAAGGACAAGGCCACUUAAAUCAGAACUCGUCUCCCAGCCUCAUGUUUCCAUGGAU